UACGGAGGGUGCAAACGUUAAUCGGAAUUACUGGGCGUAAAGCGCGCGUAGGCGGUUUGCUAAGUGGGAUGUGAAAGCCCCGGGCUUAACCUGGGAACUGCAUUCCAAACUGGCGGGCUAGAGUUUGGUAGAGGGAGGUGGAAUUUCCUGUGUAGCGGUGAAAUGCGUAGAUAUAGGAAGGAACACCAGUGGCGAAGGCGGCCUCCUGGACCAAAACUGACGCUGAGGUGCGAAAGCGUGGGGAGCAAACAGG
rnacentral:rRNA from 1 species